rnacentral:lncRNA from 1 species
GGUCCACUUCUGACUCCCCCCUCACCCGCCCUCCCCUGCAAGUAAGACUCAAUUUCUAUGAUUCAACACCGCCUUCACCAGCUCCUCUAUCAAACCUUGAGAGGUUUUUCAUUAGUCAAUACAGUGAAGGCUGGCAUGAUCAUCAGCUUCCCAUCCAAUAAUAUCUACUCAUCAGUGUGCUGUUGUCAAUCAGAGAUUUUCAAGUAUGAGUUCUCCAACUCAAAGAAAAGUAGCUGGAUCCAGGAAGAAAGGCAUUUGGGGAAGAACAACGUUCUUUACAGUGCUCAUGAUGUGUCUCCAGAGAAAGUUACUUCAGCACUAAAAAAAACAAACAAACAAACAACAACAAUAAACAACUUUCCUCUACAGUAUCUUCCAGGGUCUAAACUAUUAGACAGGUUCCUAAGUUUAUCCAGAUCUCUCCUAUGUCUGAAUUCUUGGUCAUCUUCCUUGCCUCUGGCUCCACAGGUAAAGAAGAAAUAAUAAUAAAGGAACAAAAAUUAUAUGUUUCAGGCCGGGCGCGGUGGCUCACGCCUGUAAUCCCAGCACUUUGGGAGGCCGAGG